rnacentral:rRNA from 1 species
GGUUUAAUUCGAUGAUACGCGAGGAACCUUACCUGGGCUCGAACGUAAGAUGACUGUAGGUGAAAGCUUACAUCUCUUCGGAGCAUUUUACGAGGUGCUGCAUGGUUGUCGUCAGCUCGUGCCGUGAGGUGUCGGGUUAAGUCCCAAUAACGAGCGCAACCCCUACCUUUAGUUGCCAUCAGGUUAAGCUGGGGACUCUAAAGGAACUGCCUACGCAAGUAGUGAGGAAGGCGGGGAUGACGUCAAAUCAGCACGGCCCUUACGUCCAGGGCUACACACGUGCUACAAUGGCCGAUACAGAGGGCAGCUACCUGGUGACAGGAUGCAAAUCUCCAAAGUCGGUCUCAGUUCGGAUCGGAGUCUGCAACCCGACUCCGUGAAGUUGGAUUCGCUAGUAAUCGCAGAUCAGCCAAGCUGCGGUGAAUACGUUCCCGGGCCUU